rnacentral:lncRNA from 1 species
CCAGGGAAUAGCGAGAGGGGUGUCUGUCCGUUGCUCUCAUUACUCCCCAUGCGUUUAUUCUUUGACGACCUACUGUGCGCUGGACCUGAGACUCGCUCUUGGGAACAUGGCCAUGAGAACUGGCGCAGGGCCUAGCAACGGAGAGCUGGAGUCUUCCCCGGGGGAUCCAGGUAGUACAAUGUCAGCACCUGUUACUGUUUGGAGGCCAAAGUGAUAUAAAGGAAAAUCGAGGGUCAUUUCAUUUUGGAGAGGACAUCACGCCGAAGACAUACAUAAAACUAUGACAUGAAGAAGUGAAAACAGUCUCUUUCGCUCAC